rnacentral:rRNA from 1 species
UUAAAUUGAAGAGUUUGAUCAUGGCUCAGAUUGAACGCUGGCGGCAGGCCUAACACAUGCAAGUCGAACGGUAACAGGAAGCAGCUUGCUGCUUUGCUGACGAGUGGCGGACGGGUGAGUAAUGUCUGGGAAACUGCCUGAUGGAGGGGGAUAACUACUGGAAACGGUGGCUAAUACCGCAUAAUGUCGCAAGACCAAAGAGGGGGACCUUCGGGCCUCUUGCCAUCAGAUGUGCCCAGAUGGGAUUAGCUUGUUGGUGAGGUAACGGCUCACCAAGGCGACGAUCCCUAGCUGGUCUGAGAGGAUGACCAGCCACACUGGAACUGAGACACGGUCCAGACUCCUACGGGAGGCAGCAGUGGGGAAUAUUGCACAAUGGGCGCAAGCCUGAUGCAGCCAUGC